UCAACCUGCCAGACCGCCUCAAUGAAAUCUGCUGGGACGCGCAUAUGAGACGCAUCUUUGUGUCUUGACGGCGCCGCAUUUCCUUAUCCACCCCACCUUGCCCGGUUAAAGCGGCGACAGCAUUGGAGACAGAGGGGGAUACACAACUCCUCAAACACCAGACACAACAGGCACAGACACAAGUUCAAGCAGAAGAUAUGUUUAUUACCUGUGGGAAACGCUUCUCCUUCGCUCCCAAUGGCAAGUCCUGGAGACCUCAUCCAUCAAGCUGCCUCCCCCAUUU